rnacentral:rRNA from 1 species
AUGAAUCACCAGAAGCUGGAGAAGUUCGGGUACCACCUGCUGCUCUUGCGUGAUAACACUACUUCCUUGGAUGAAGUCCGGAUCUCAUCCCCCGAUGUUAAUAGUAUCGCGUGUUGUGAGUGGAUUCGACAUGCCAUCAUGCACAAAGUUCGUCUCCUUCAUGUUUCUGGAACUGUCCUUCUGGAUAGCACAUCCAUGAUUUCUUCUCAGCACCUCAAAACAGUCAGGCUCCAAUCUAGCUUGUUGAGACAUGGAUUCUUUAGGCCGCUGAACUGCGACUGCCCAGUGCUUGAACAUUUAGAGCUGGAAAACUGCGGUUUGUGGGACUUGAAGGAGAUCUCAUCGAGGUCACUCAAGGUUCUACUUAUCAUUGGUUGCCAUAUCUUCGAUGGUCUCGUGAUUUGUGCUAGCAACCUUACCCAUGUCUCUAUCGUUGACCCAAGCUUUGAUCCUGGUGCUAUAUAUAGUAACUAG